rfam:Trichinella pseudospiralis scaffold341s, whole genome shotgun sequence.
UUCUUUGGUCAUUUAGCUGUAUGAUUGUUAUGAAAUUCAUAAGCUAAUUGACCAAAGUA